GGGGCUGACACGGUCUCGACCGUGGUCAUCACCGCCGGUGCGGGAGCGUGCCGAGGAUGCUCACGCGUGCCUCGAUAAUCCCACGUGAGGACCAAUACACGCCAAGGACACUGACCUGGCCCUCGCUGCCUGAUACGCAGCGACGAUCGCCCUCUGACGCCCCGUAGGGGGGGUCGAUCGCCAUCACGGGGAUCCACCCGAACGGCUCCGACCAUGUGGCCCGAGGGGACAUCGCAGCAUGGUGUGGACGCGGGGGCUGCCUGGCCCCGGAGCACCGCGUCCGAGACCAUCCGGGACCUACGCACGUAGCGCCUUCAUCGUCGGGGCCGCGGGACCCGGGUUCGACUCCCGGCAGCUCCACC
rnacentral:tmRNA from 1 species